UCCUACGGGAGGCAGCAGUGGGGAAUAUUGCACAAUGGGCGCAAGCCUGAUCCAGCCAUCCCGCGUGCAGGAAGACGGCCCUAUGGGUUGUAAACUGCUUUUAUCUGGGGAUAAACCUACUUACGUGUAAGUAGCUGAAGGUACCAGAAGAAUAAGCACCGGCUAACUCCGUGCCAGCAGCCGCGGUAAU
rnacentral:rRNA from 1 species